GAUGAACGCUAGCGGCAGGCUUAACACAUGCAAGUCGAGGGGUAACAGGGAGAGCUUGCUUUCUGCUGACGACCGGCGCACGGGUGCGUAACGCGUAUACAAUCUACCUUAUACUGGGGUAUAGCCUUUAGAAAUGAAGAUUAAUCCCCCAUAGUCUCUUUUUGUGGCAUCACUAAAGGAGUAAAGGUUACGGUAUAAGAUGAGUAUGCGUUCUAUUAGUUUGUUGGUGUGGUAACGGCACACCAAGACUACGAUAGAUAGGGGCCCUGAGAGGGGGAUCCCCCACACUGGUACUGAGACACGGACCAGACUCCUACGGGAGGCAGCAGUGAGGAAUAUUGGACAAUGGAGGCAACUCUGAUCCAGCCAUGCCGCGUGUAGGAUGACUGCCCUAUGGGUUGUAAACUACUUUUAUACAGGAAGAAACACCUCUACGUGUAGAGGCUUGACGGUACUGUAAGAAUAAGGAUCGGCUAACUCCGUGCCAGCAGCCGCGGUAAUACGGAGGAUCCAAGCGUUAUCCGGAAUCAUUGGGUUUAAAGGGUCCGUAGGUUGAUAAUUAAGUCAGAGGUGAAAUCUUGCAGCUCAACUGUAAAAUUGCCUUUGAUACUGAUUAUCUUGAGUUAUUAUGAAGUAGUUAGAAUAUGUAGUGUAGCGGUGAAAUGCAUAGAUAUUACAUAGAAUACCAAUUGCGAAGGCAGAUUACUAAUAAUCAACUGACACU
rnacentral:rRNA from 1 species